UACAGAGGGUGCAAGCGUUGUUCGGAAUUAUUGGGCGUAAAGCGCGUGUAGGCGGCUUUGCAAGUCGGGUGUGAAAGCCCUCGGCUCAACCGAGGAAGUGCGCCCGAAACUGCAGAGCUUGAGUACCGGAGAGGGUGGCGGAAUUCCCCAAGUAGAGGUGAAAUUCGUAGAUAUGGGGAGGAACACCGGUGGCGAAGGCGGCCCCCUGGACCGGUACUGACGCUGAGGCGCGAAAGCGUGGGUAGCAAACGGG
rnacentral:rRNA from 1 species